UUCGCUGUGAUUAUGUUGGAGAAAAUGCAAAUUGUUUUACUUCCUCUGAAGUUUGCGUUUAAAUAUGCAUUGAUUUACUUUUGUGCUGAAAACUGAUGCAAUUCCUCCUCUUGAUUAAUUUGUUCUAAAAUAAUAACAUGUAUAGGUAAUCACUGAUGCUAUUCCAAACAAUGUUGGGAGAAAGCUUAUUGGACUGGUGACCUCAAGAGAAGAAAUUCCUAACCUGCUUAAGGUGAGCAGCUGUUUGAUUUAUAUUCAAACGGAUUUCAAUUCUGACAGUGUCUGCUUAAAACUUAAAAGGCCUGGACUGACGCUUCUUUUAUUCUUAUCAGCUUGAUGAUGUGAUCGAUCUUGUGAUUCCUAGAGGCAGCAACAAGCUGGUUUCCACUAUCAAAGCAUCAACCAAAAUCCCUGUUCUGGGUCACGCUGGUUAGAUGAAUGACUAUAUCAUUUCUCAUUGGCCACAUAUGGUUUUGUGACCUUACCAAACUUGAAAAACACACUUUUUUUUCCUGCACAGAUGGAAUUUGUCAUAUAUAUGUCGACAAGUCUGCUAAAAUGGACACGGCCAAGCGUAUUGUGGUAGAUGCGAAAGUGGACUAUCCAGCAGCCUGUAAUGCAAUGGUAAUCUUGUCUUUUGUUUCAGUUUAUUCACUUGCUUGUUGCUAUUCCCUGAUAAACAAUGUGAAUUCAAUAUUUAAGUCUUGUCUCUCUUUGGCUUGCUGUGUCCAGGAAACUCUUCUGGUGCAUAAGGAUUUGCUUCCCACUCGUGCUCUGAAUGAGCUAAUAGUCGAUCUUGGAAGUGAAGGUAGGAUCUGUUUUGUCAUGCAAUUAACUAAGACACAAGUUUACAGACCGACUAUAAAAUGAGAUGUCUCUAUUUUAGGUGUGAUUGUAUAUGGCGGGCCAAGGGCAAGCAAGGAGCUGAACAUUCCGGAGACAGCAUCGUUCCAUCACGAGUACAACUCCCUGGCAUGCACUAUUGAGAUUGUCGAUGAUGUCCAGGCUGCUAUUAAUCACAUACAUGAACAUGGAAGGCAUAAUUUCAAUUCUAUUCACUGUGUAAAUUAUGUUGGCACUGCGAGAUGAGUUUCGUGUCGUGAUGUUGUUUCCUCUUUGUCUGCAGUGCACAUACUGAUUGCAUCAUUGCAGAAGACCCUGAAGUAGCAGAGACUUUUUUACGACAAGUUGACAGGUAAAGGACACAUGUUUCAGUUGAGCUGACUUGAGUAUCAAAGUGUAGCUUCAGCCUCAAGUUACUAACAGCACUUAAACUGGUGAUCUUGAUUCUGUUCACAAAUGCAGUGCUGCUGUUUUCCACAAUGCAAGUACAAGAUUCUGCGAUGGAGCAAGAUUCGGACUUGGUGCAGAGGUAACUAAAACUCUUCUGUCAGUCUGUUUAACCACACCAUUACUUAAAAGUGUCCUGACCUGAAAGAUCCUUAUAACUGGAUUCUCCUUGAUGGGUGAUACAGGUGGGAAUCAGUACAAGUAGAAUCCACGCUCGAGGCCCCGUAGGAGUCGAAGGAUUGUUGACAACCCGAUGGUGAGAAGCCACUCAUAAUCGGUUUGACCCCACGAUCAUUUUAACAUGUUCCGGUUUUCUGAACAAGUUGCCACAUUUUCUCUUGUGCAGGAAACUGAGAGGCACUGGGCAAGUAGUGGAUGGUGAUAGGGGAGUGACCUACACCCACAAGGACAUAGCUGUAUAGGUUGCAGUCUGAGUCGAGAAAGGAGGCGCCUUUAACCACCAUCUAGAAGCAUGAGAAGUAAUCGGUCAACCUUUGCUUACGACCGUUGCUUGGGGUUUAAUAAACCAUGUUUAGGGUGCAUAUGUAAUAUGUUCUGUGACCUUUGUGUUACUCAAUAAGUUUCCAUAUCUUCAUUGUUGGAAGUGAAGGUUAUUUAUUUACCACCAUUUGUAAGUGUUUUUGGUUACGUCUGGUGCUGUUGGCCUCGGCCGCCAAAGGCUCAGAUAUCGCAAGUUAGUCAACAGCAGGUCUGUUCUCCGAAAAUUUGUAUUGUUUCACUUUACUGAUCUCUGAUGCAUUUUGGGAACAAUUUUUAACGUCAAAGAGGAAAAUAGCCAAGUAGAUGAUUUAUCAAUCUGUCGUUUUUACUUUUUAUUUGAAACGGGAAUAGUUUGUUUGGGGGAUAUACUGAUUUGGUACAUGGAAUCUGUUUAUUUUUCUGGUUAUGUAGCUUUGCUGAUCUCCAGAAGCCACCGGGUGAUCUGGACGGGAAGGGGUGUGCUGCUGUUGGACAGAACAGUAUCAUGGCCCUUUAUGACACCUUGUUCAGUCAGGUGAUUGAUUAUUCAUUUAGAUAUAUCCAUAUGAUAUGCAUCUCAUGUUCAGUAGCUGAUGAAGUUUCCCAUGGGGUCUUGUGUGCAGCUGGAUGUGACUUCUGCUCAGAUUCUCGUGACUGAUAAUGAUUUUAGGGAUAAAGAUCUCAGGACUCAACUUCAGCAGACUGUUGACUCGCUGCUCAACCUCAGGGUUGUCCCCAUUUUCAACGAGAAUGAUGCAGUCAGUACCCGGAAAGCCCCAUAUGAGGCAUGCAACCUUUUGCCUUCUUUCUCCAACUUGUUGUGUUACGUUUCUGUGGUUUUUAAUUUACUUUAAUCUGUUUUUAAUUUCACGAUUUGCACCCAACUUGAUAGUCUGACUAGUGAGCACCCUCUACAGGAUUCCUCUGGCAUCUUCUGGGACAAUGACAGCUUGGCUGCCUUGCUUGCAUUGGAGUUGAACGCUGAUCUUCUUGUUCUGCUGAGUGACGUGGACGGUCUUUACAGCGGUCCACCAAGUGAUCCAAAGUCAAAGUUGAUUCAUACAUACAUUAAGGAAGUGCAUCAAGGUGGAAUCACGUUUGGAGACAAGUCUAGGGUGGGAAGAGGCGGAAUGACAGCAAAAGUUAAGGCUGCUGUCAAUGCUGCUAAUGCAGGUGUUCCUGUUAUCAUAACCAGGUAUUCUUCUGUGCUGUAAAAAUACUUUUUCCUUGAUUCCUUCUAUGUUUGCCAGUGUUCUAACAUGUAAGAUAUUAUCUUUAACUGUUUCCCGUUUCUCUCAAUGUGUAAUGAUCUUUUGGUUGGCUAUUUUGAAGCGGAUUUGCUCUCCAGAACAUAAUUAAAGUCCUCCAUGGAGAUGAUAUUGGCACUCUCUUUCACCGGGAUGCUCACUCGUGGGUCAGAACGAAAGAAACGGGAGCCCGUGACAUGGCUGUUGCAGCAAGGGAGUGUUCUAGACGUCUGCAGGUACGGCUGUUUAUAUUGUUAAAAGUUAAAUUUUCUUUUGUUUUAUUUGUAUAAAAAAUAAUCUAGAGAGGGAACCUUCACAACUGUACAGUUCAAAAAUUUACUGGCUUGAUAAUGAGAUGACAUAAUGAAUUAAUGAUCAUGACCUCUUCCGCAGGCACUAUCCUCAGAAGAGAGGAACAAGAUAUUGCUGGAUAUAGCAGAUGCCCUCGAAGCCAAUGAAAAAGUAAUUAAGGUUGAGAAUGAUGCAGACCUUGCUGCUGCUGAGCAGGAAGGACUAGAAAGCUCCUUGUUAGCACGGUUGGCACUGAAGCCCGGGAAGGCAAGAUACCCUGGUGCUGUUGCUCUGUUAUGUCUUUAUUUCUUGUGACUGCUUCGGACAGUGUAACUGCUUUCUGGCUUUAUGACGUAGCAGCACUGCUGGCAAUGAUGAUAUCCAUUUCUAAUCUUGUUUAUGCUAACCUUCCAGAUUACAAGUCUUGCUAAAUCCUUGCGUGUCCUUGCAAACAUGGAAGAUCCAGUCGGCCAUGUAUUGAAGAAAACUGAAGUAAGAAUAUUACAGCUAUUAUUCUGUAUCUUUCUUCUCAUAUUCUGGAAACUUGGGUUCAAUCUGUCCAGGGUUUAUACUCUAGUAACAUAGCUAAUAUAAAUUUACACUGUUGAUGUUACAGCUUGCAGAUGGUCUUGUUUUAGAAAAGACAUCUUCUCCUCUAGGUGUUCUCCUGAUUGUGUUUGAGGCUCGGCCUGAUGCACUAGUGCAGGUGGGUUAAACCAUGGUCAGCAAACUUUGUCCUCCUAAAACCCGAGUCUAGUUGUUUACUAAUGUGUUGUUGUUGUUGUUGUUGUUGUAUUCCUUAUACAGAUAGCUUCAUUGGCUAUACGCAGUGGAAAUGGUCUCUUACUGAAAGGGGGGAAGGAGGCCAAGCGAUCGAAUGCAAUUUUGCAUAAGGUCUAGUUCAAUGUGAUCAUGUUGGAGAAAAUGCAAAUUCUUUUACUUCCUCUGAAGUUUGCUUCUAGAUAUGAAUUGUUUUACAUUUGUGCUGACUACUGAUGCUAUUCCUCCUCUUUUAUUAAUUUGUUCUAAAAUAAUAACAUGUAUAGGUAAUCACUGAUGCUAUUCCAAACAAUGUUGGGAGAAAGCUUAUUGGACUGGUGACCUCAAGAGAAGAAAUUCCUGACCUGCUUAAGGUGGGCAGCUGUUUGAUAUAUAUUCAAACGGAUGUAAAUUCAGACAAUGUCUGCUUAAAAUUUAAAAGGCCUGGACUGACGCUUCUUCUAUUCUUAUCAGCUUGAUGAUGUGAUCGAUCUUGUGAUUCCUAGAGGCAGCAAUAAGCUGGUUUCCACUAUCAAAGCAUCAACCAAAAUCCCUGUUCUGGGUCACGCAGGUUAGAUGAAUGACUAAUAUCAUAUCUCAUUGGCCACAUGUGGUUUUGUGACCUUACCAAACUUGAAAAACACAUUUUUUUCCUGCACAGAUG
rnacentral:lncRNA from 1 species